CCUACGGUGAGCAGCAGUGGGGAAUAUUGCGCAAUGGGCGAAAGCCUGACGCAGCGACGCCGCGUGAGGGAUGAAGGUCUUCGGAUCGUAAACCUCUGUCAGCAGGGAAGAACGGUCACUGUGCUAAUCAGCAGUGAAUUGACGGUACCUGCAAAGGAAGCACCGGCUAACUCCGGGCCAGCAGCCGCGGUAAUACGGAGGGUGCGAGCGUUAAACGGAAUUACUGGGCGUAAAGCGAUCGUAGGCGGUAUUGCAAGUCAAGGGUGAAAUCCCCGCGCUCAACGGUGGAACUGCCUUUGAAACUGGCAAACUGGAGUGUGUGAGAGGAUAGUGGAAUUCCAGGUGUAGGGGUGAAAUCCGUAGAUAUCUGGAGGAACAUCAGUGGCGAAGGCGACUAUCUGGCACAUAACUGACGCUGAGGAGCGAAAGCGUGGGUAGCAAACAGGAUUAGAUACCCGAGUAGUC
rnacentral:rRNA from 1 species